GCCUCCGUGGCGCAAUCGGCUAGCGCGUUCGGCUGUUAACCGAAAGGUUGGUGGUUCGAGCCCACCCGGGGGAA
rnacentral:tRNA from 2 species